rnacentral:rRNA from 1 species
AGUGAACGCUGGCGGUAGGCCUAACACAUGCAAGUCGAACGGCAGCACAGUAAGAGCUUGCUCUUACAGGUGGCGAGUGGCGGACGGGUGAGGAAUACAUCGGAAUCUACUUUUUCGUGGGGGCUAACGUAGGGAAACUUACGCUAAUACCGCAUACGACCUACGGGUGAAAGCAGGGGAUCUUCGGACCUUGCGCGAUUGAAUGGUCCGAUGUCGGAUUAGCUAGUUGGAGGGGUAAAGGCCCACCAAGGCGACGGUCCGUAGCUGGUCUGAGAGGAUGAUGAGCCACACUGGAACUGAGACACGGUCCAGACUCCUACGGGAGGCAGCAGUGGGGAAUAUUGGACAAUGGGCGCAAGCCUGAUCCAGCCAUACCGCGUGGGUGAAGAAGGCCUUCGGGUUGUAAAGCCCUUUUGUUGGGAAAGAAAAGCAGCAGGUUAAUACCCCGCUGUUCUGACGGUACCCAAAGAAUAAGCACCGGCUAACUUCGUG